rnacentral:rRNA from 1 species
UACGAAGGGGGCUAGCGUUGCUCGGAAUCACUGGGCGUAAAGGGUGCGUAGGCGGGUCUUUAAGUCAGUGGUGAAAUCCUGGAGCUCAACUCCAGAACUGCCUUUGAUACUGAGAAGCUUGAGUCCGGGAGAGAUGAGUGGAACUGCGAGUGUAGAGGUGAAAUUCGUAGAUAUUCGCAAGAACACCAGUGGCGAAGGCGGCUCACUGGCCCGGUACUGACGCUGAGGUGCGAAAGCGUGGGGAGCAAACAGG